GACGAACGCUGGCGGCGUGCUUAACACAUGCAAGUCGAACGGAAAGGCCCUGCUUUUGUGGGGUGCUCGAGUGGCGAACGGGUGAGUAACACGUGAGUAACCUGCCCUUGACUUUGGGAUAACUUCGGGAAACUGGGGCUAAUACCGGAUAGGAGCUCCUGCUGCAUGGUGGGGGUUGGAAAGUUUCGGCGGUUGGGGAUGGACUCGCGGCUUAUCAGCUUGUUGGUGGGGUAGUGGCUUACCAAGGCUUUGACGGGUAGCCGGCCUGAGAGGGUGACCGGCCACAUUGGGACUGGGAUACGGCCCAGACUCCUACGGGGGGCAGCAGUGGGGAAUAUUGCACAAUGGGCGGAAGCCUGAUGCAGCAACGCCGCGUGCGGGAUGACGGCCUUCGGGUUGUAAACCGCUUUCGCCUGUGACGAAGCGUGAGUGACGGUAAUGGGUAAAGAAGCACCGGCUAACUACGUG
rnacentral:rRNA from 1 species